rnacentral:rRNA from 1 species
GACGAACGCUGGCGGCGUGCUUAACACAUGCAAGUCGAACGAAGUGGCGAACGGGUGAGUAACGCGUAAUCAACCUGCUCUUCAGAGGGGGACACCAGUAGGAAACGACUGCUAAUACCUCAUACUGAAGGAGGGGAUUGCGUCUGAUUAGCUAGUUGGAGGGAUAACGGCCGACAAAGGCGAUGAUCAGUAGCCGGUCUGAGAGGAUGAACGGCAACAUUGGGACUGAGACACGGCCCAGACUCCUACGGGAGGCAGCAGUGGGGAAUCUUCCGCAAUGGACGAAAGUCUGACGGGGCAACGCCGCGUGAGUGAUGACGGCCUUCGGGUUGUAAAGCUCUGUUAAUCGGGACGCGGUACCGGAAUAGAAAGCCACGGCUAACUACGUGCCAGCAGCCGCGGUAAUAC